AGAGAGAACAAGAGGGCUCUAGCUUGUUUCUCUGUUCAUUUAGGUGCUUUCGCCUCCGUUGUGGUUAGCAUGUUGUUCUCCACCUGAGCCUUGAUCUCAUCGCCAUGUAUGUUCUCCGACAGCUUAAACCUCCGCGAGAAAUCCCCUUCACUCUCUCAGAUCUUCGGUCAAAGAGUUCAUUACUCAAUCUAGAGAGAGUAAAGGUGGGUUCUUCAGUAUAUUUGGGUUCUUUAUAUCUAUAGUAUUAUGUUCCAUUUUUUUUUCUAUAAUUUUCUUUUCGCCAUAUUUUGUUCUUUCUUUGUUCUACUUUCUCUUUUAUUCUAUAUUUGUUUAUUCUGAAAGAUAUGAGUAAGUCCUAAUUAGCCAUGUUCCUAUGAACGUUGUGAGGUAUUUAUUCAUAUGGUCAUAGCCCUUAUAACUUUGCAGCCAUGACCCCAAAUUGAAAAUUUUUUAAUUAGGAAUUUGGUGAUUAAACAGCCAUGAAGUACAUCUCACGCUCCUCCAUGGAAAAUUUACAAGGAUAAUCAAUAGUAAAGUAAUAUCUUUGGCCAAAUCUAGCAUAAAAUAGGUAUGUCCAGUCACACUUACUUAAAUAAGGACCAAAAUAUAAGUAAACAAAAAUAGUUAUAUAUAUAACCCUACUUUGUUUUAAAAGAAUGCUCCCUAUUUUAUAUCUACAAGAAGUCUAAAAUAAACUAGACGUACUCUCACAUUUUUCAAUUUCUUUUAUAGAAAUAUUACUCUCUGAAUGUAGUUGGAGUCAGCCUUGCAUUGGAAAAGAUAUUUCCUCAUUCUUCAGUUGAUAUUAGAAAUUUCAGAUGUGAAAACCAUAUCUGUAUGCUUGUCUGCUCAAAAGAUGAAGGUGGGCUGCUUCAAGAACGCAUGGAAAUUGUUGCGGAGUUAUGGCAAGCAAAUUUGAAGGUCUACUGAAUCAUUCACGUGAAACGUAUCAGACAAUUGUUUCCCAAUGAAAGUUACUAUGGUUUAUUUUCCUUAUAACUUAAAAAUAUCUUAAUUACAGGCAAAACUUGUUCCUCUGUUAGACCCAAGUUUAACUAAACAAUAUAAAUAUGCAAGUGAACAUGAUCUCAAAUGCCAUAUUGUCAUAAUUGAAGUUGGUCUAUCUCAAACAGGUCUCGUAAAGGUACAUUAAUAUCUGUGUAUGAACUACUUUCUGAAUAAUCUACAAGUUAUCAUGUGCAAGUUCAUUAUAUUGAGCUAAAGAAGGAAUCGGAGGUUGGUAGGAAGCAUCUUGUCAAAUUUUUGACAGAAGCAAUAUCUGCACAGUUCCAGAAUCUUCCAAAUUGAAAUUUAUUAUAUCCAUAUU